rnacentral:rRNA from 1 species
GACGAACCGUGCGAACGUUAUUCGGAAUCACUGGGCUUAAAGGGCGCGUAGGCGGGCGGCCAAGUCAGAGGUGAAAGCCCCCAGCUCAACUGGGGAAGUGCCUUUGAUACUGGUCGUCUCGAGGGAGAUAGGGGCGUGCGGAACUUCCGGUGGAGCGGUGAAAUGCGUAGAUAUCGGAAGGAACACCGGUGGCGAAAGCGGCGCGCUGGAUCGUCUUCUGACGCUGAGGCGCGAAAGCCAGGGGAGCGGAACGGG